UACGUAGGUGGCUAGCGUUGUCCGGAUUUACUGGGCGUAAAGAGCGCGCAGGCGGUCGUUCAAGUCGAGUGUGAAAGCCCCCGGCUCAACUGGGGAGGGUCACUCGAUACUGAUCGACUCGAAGGCAGGAGAGGGAAGCGGAAUUCCCGGUGUAGUGGUGAAAUGCGUAGAGAUCCGGAAGAACACCGGUGGCGAAGGCGGCCUGCUGGGCAGUGGCUGACACUGAGGCGCGACAGCGUGGGGAGCAAACAGG
rnacentral:rRNA from 1 species